rnacentral:rRNA from 1 species
ACGCUCGACACCUACGGAGGCAGCAGUGGGGAAUAUUGCACAAUGGGGGAAACCCUGAUGCAGCGAUGCCGCGUGAAGGAAGAAGUAUCUCGGUAUGUAAACUUCUAUCAGCAGGGAAGAAAAUGACGGUACCUGACUAAGAAGCCCCGGCUAACUACGUGACAGCAGCCGCGGUAAUCUGAGCGGGCUGGCAAGGC